rnacentral:lncRNA from 1 species
GGACCCUCCAAAAUUGCAGCGUGGCAAUACUGAGCCCGCCCCGCCGCUCGUGCGCACACAACAGCACGACCCCCCGCCAAAAAAUCGCAAAGAACCAGGAUAUAUCCAUAAAAAAUCCCGGAUAAACCCCUCUUCCCAAAAGUCUCUACCCAACAAGCCCCCGAGCGACUAUAUCGCGCGCGUAUGCCGCACUGACCGCAAAAAUCGCAAACCCAAAAACCCACAACCGAUCCUGCCUUGGCGCCGACCGGACAGAUGUCCAUGCGCGAGGGCAAGCCGACGACCUCACCGGCUGUCGCGACAAGUACAGAGACAAUGACGACGCUGCCAAAGAAGGGCGGAAAAAGAAGACGACAAUAACCUCGCAAAAGAAGGGCGCCUUUUUAUGCCACCUUUUUGUCCCAGUUUUCAAUCGUAAAUAUUUGGAUUUUUU